UGGGGAAUAUUGCACAAUGGGCGAAAGCCUGAUGCAGCGACGCCGCGUGAGUGAAGAAGUAUUUCGGUAUGUAAAGCUCUAUCAGCAGGGAAGAUAAUGACAGUACCUGACUAAGAAGCCCCGGCUAACUACGUGCCAGCAGCCGCGGUAAUACGUAGGGGGCAAGCGUUAUCCGGAUUUACUGGGUGUAAAGGGAGCGUAGGUGGCUAGGUAAGUCAGGUGUGAAAGCCCGGGGCUCAACCCCGGGAUUGCACUUGAAACUACUUAGCUAGAGUGCAGGAGAGGUAAGUGGAAUUCCUAGUGUAGCGGUGAAAUGCGUAGAUAUUAGGAGGAACACCAGUGGCGAAGGCGGCUUACUGGACUGUAACUGACACUGAGGCUCGAAAGCGUGGGGAGCAAACAGG
rnacentral:rRNA from 1 species